rnacentral:rRNA from 1 species
GAUGAACGCUAGCUACAGGCUUAACACAUGCAAGUCAAGGGGAAGCGGCAUCGAAAGCUUGCUUUUGAUGGGCGUCGACCGGCGCACGGGUGAGUAACGCGUAUCCAACCUGCCCAUCACUUGGGAAUAACCUUGCGAAAGUAAGACUAAUGCCCAAUGACAUCCCACGAAGGCAUCCGAAUGGGAUUAAAGAUUUAUCGGUGAUGGAUGGGGAUGCGUCUGAUUAGCUUGUUGGCGGGGUGACGGCCCACCAAGGCAACGAUCAGUAGGGGUUCUGAGAGGAAGGUCCCCCACAUUGGAACUGAGACACGGUCCAAACUCCUACGGGAGGCAGCAGUGAGGAAUAUUGGUCAAUGGGCGAGAGCCUGAACCAGCCAAGUAGCGUGCAGGAUGACGGCCCUAUGGGUUGUAAACUGCUUUUAUAAGGGAAUAAAGUGGGUCACGUGUGACUUUUUGCAUGUACCUUAUGAAUAAGGACCGGCUAAUUCCGUG